GAGAAAUUGGCGCACGCGUACCGCUGACCUCGCUCAUGAACGUCGUUUUGAUUUUCUGGGAACGUUUUGAGUGAGGGGUGCCGUCACGUGCAGCUGGAGGAUGCUCAAGGAGGCUGCACAGAGCGAUCAUCUGCUCACUGAAUAUUUCCUCAAUUGUGAGAUUUUUCUGCAGUGCUUCUGAUACCUUUCCAGUUGCAAGUUCCAGCAGGAGAUUUUCAAAUUGAAACACGAGGUCAUUUCAGAGUUUAGGAGAUCAAACCUGCACACAGUGCAUCAGAUGUGGUUUCAGCAAAACCCUGUACAGAUGCAGUAAAACAUCCCUAUGAUGAUAGCCGA